rnacentral:rRNA from 1 species
AACGUAGGGGACGAGCGUUAUCCGGAUUUACUGGGCGUAAAGCGCAUGUAGGUGGCUUGAAAAGUUGGACGUGAAAGCUCCUGGCUUAACUGGGAGAGGUCGUACAAAACUAGCAAGCUUGAGGUUGGAAGAGGAGAGCAGAAUUCCCGGUGUAGUGGUGGAAUGCGUAGAUAUCGGGAGGAAUACCAGUGGCGAAAGCGGCUCUCUGGUUCAAUACUGACACUGAGGCACGAAAGCUAGGGGAGCAAACAGG